UGGUGCAUUGAUCACAGGGCCAUGGGCCAUGGCGUCCAUUGGAGCAGCCAUCCAUUCCUGUUUCCAGGACCUACGGUUCUUUGGAUCUGUUGCCUCAUGUAUAUAAAAGACACACUGUUCAAAUCACAGGGUCACUGUAAGAAUUCAAUGAGGAAAGCUCUGUUUCUGCCCCGGAUCUGGAAUAAGUCUUUUCUGCUGCCAUUAUUAUUGUUUCCUCUUACUGUUGCUACUAAGAAUCACUUUGGGCAGAUCGGUUCACCUCUGCAAACUUCAGCUUCUCCUCGUCCCUGUUGGCUGUGGCGUUUGAACGUGCUUCAGACAAGCGAGUCAGUCGAGAUGAACAGGAGGAAACCCUGCCACCACCUACAUCCAGCAUGGAGGGAAGAGCGUCAGUCAGACUAAAGGUAGUUGGUGGGAGCAGGUGGAGACUCGGAACUGAAUGGGGCAAGACCAGGAGGCAGAGAGACUGCGAAGUCAUCCUGAAGCAGUCAGACUCACACAGGUAGAGAGGAUGGUGUAAUAACCCUCCACACACCCAGCACCCACACUCAUCAGUUACUGACAUUUCACACUGGAGGUUAUGGAAGGGAGCCAAGAACUCAUGUUGAGUAGGAGAAGUGCCUUGGAUCCUAUCUUGGGGCAGAGGUGGCUGUAACAACAGCAGGA